rnacentral:rRNA from 1 species
AGAUUGAACGCUGGCGGCAUGCUUUACACAUGCAAGUCGAACGGCAGCACGGGGGCAACCCUGGUGGCGAGUGGCGAACGGGUGAGUAAUGCAUCGGAACGUAUCCUUGAGUGGGGGAUAACGCAGCGAAAGUUGUGCUAAUACCGCAUAAGCUCUGAGGAGGAAAGCGGGGGGACCGAAAGGCCUCGCGCUGAAGGAGCGGCCGAUGUCCGAUUAGCUGGUUGUGGGAGGACGCUACGAGCGAUGUGGNCGUGUNAGAGGAGUGAUCAGACACCACUCGGGGACUGAGACACGGGCCCAGGACUCCUACGGGAGGCAGC